rnacentral:tRNA from 1 species
GGGGUGUUAGCUCAGCGGUAGAGCAAUUGACUGCAGAUCAAUAGGUUUUAGGUUCAAAUCCGGAACGCCCCU